UAGGGAAUCUUCGGCAAUGGACGGAAGUCUGACCGAGCAACGCCGCGUGAGUGAAGAAGGUUUUCGGAUCGUAAAGCUCUGUUGUAAGAGAAGAACGAGUGUGAGAGUGGAAAGUUCACACUGUGACGGUAUCUUACCAGAAAGGGACGGCUAACUACGUGCCAGCAGCCGCGGUAAUACGUAGGUCCCGAGCGUUGUCCGGAUUUAUUGGGCGUAAAGCGAGCGCAGGCGGUUAGAUAAGUCUGAAGUUAAAGGCUGUGGCUUAACCAUAGUAGGCUUUGGAAACUGUUUAACUUGAGUGCAAGAGGGGAGAGUGGAAUUCCAUGUGUAGCGGUGAAAUGCGUAGAUAUAUGGAGGAACACCGGUGGCGAAAGCGGCUCUCUGGCUUGUAACUGACGCUGAGGCUCGAAAGCGUGGGGAGCAAACAGGAUUAGAUACCCUGGUAGUCCACGCUGUAAACGAUGAGUGCUAGGUGUUAGACCCUUUCCGGGGUUUAGUGCCGUAGCUAACGCAUUAAGCACUCCGCCUGGGGAGUACGACCGCAAGGGUUG
rnacentral:rRNA from 1 species